rnacentral:rRNA from 1 species
GCAAGUCGAACGCGAACAGUCUUCGGACUAAGUAGAGUGGCGCACGGGUGAGUAACACGUGGAUAACAUGCCCUCGGGUUUGGGAUAACCUUCCGAAAGGAAAGCUAAUACCGAAUAAGACCACAGCCUUAAUUGGGCAGUGAGAAAAGAUGGGGACCGGAAACGGCCUGUCACCUGAGGAUUGGUCCGCGUUCUAUCAGCUUGUUGGUGAGGUAAAAGCUCACCAAGGCUAGGACGGAUAGCUGGUCUGAGAGGAUGAUC